rnacentral:misc_RNA from 1 species
AUUUUAGAGUACAAGCGUUAAAUAUAUAAUAAUUUUAUUAUAAUAAUUAAUAAUGCUUAAUUUUAUGUGGUUGAAAUCUAUUCAAUGUAAUAUACACUGGUCAAAGGCUAAUCCUAUUCGAAUCCCUAGUAGAAUUGCACUCGUUCCCUCAGGAAGAAUCCGAUAAAUUGCAAAACCAUGGCCGCACUCUACUGGAAAAUUUCAUGUCUUUCAGUUUGCGUUGCAUGUGUAUUUCGGUGCAUAGCUUUUGAACUUGUAGCCAUUAGUUGGUACUUGGUAUGUCCGAUGAUCGUGGUCAUUGGAGUUGAUGAGAAUUAGAAGCAAGCACUAGUCAACCAUCGUCACAAUUGAAAGCUUCACGUGCCUGGUUUUAGCUCAAGUGGGUAGUAGAAUUGGGCUGUUAUAUAACUUAGUUGUUUUCAUAUAUGAAUGUGUAAAGCCUUGUUCACAUAUGUUGAAGAUAAUUUAUGAGAGAGUGAGAAUGGAAAUGCAGAAGAAGUAGGGCAAUAAGUUAACAUGUAAGACUGGACAUGCCUAUCGGAUGAGAUGAAGGUGUAAGGAUUUGCACCAAUGGAAGGUUAUUAUUGAAGUGUUCAAUCCAAAGAGAU